rnacentral:tRNA from 1 species
GUCGGGGUAGCUAUAUUAAGUGUUGGUUUUGUAAUCCAUUGAAGGGUAGGUUCUACUCUCCCGACU